rnacentral:rRNA from 1 species
CACGUAGGGUGCGAGCGUUGUCCGGAUUUAUUGGGCGUAAAGGGCCCGUAGGCGGUUUGGUAAGUCGGGUGUCAAAACUCCAGGCUCAACCUGGAGCGGCCAUCCGAUACUGCCAUGACUUGAGUCUGGUAGGGGAGUGCGGAAUUCCUGGUGUAGCGGUGAAAUGCGCAGAUAUCAGGAGGAACACCGGUGGCGAAGGCGGCACUCUGGGCCAGUACUGACGCUGAUGGACGAAAGCGUGGGGAGCAAACAGG